GGAAGAAGCUCCACGCAGCGGCCAGCGUGUGAGGAAGAAGCUCCAGGCGGCGGCGGCCAGCGUGUGAGGAAGAAGCUCCACGCGGCGGCCAGUGUGUGAGAAAAGCUCCACGCAGCGGCCAGCGUGUGAGGAAGAAGCUCCAGGCGGCGGCCGCCAGCGUGUGAGGAAGAAGCUCCACGCGGCGCUUGCUCAGGGAAUCCUGCUCCAGGGCGUGCUCACUUGCUGUUAUUGUGUUUUAUUUUUCCUGAGACUGUAAAUGGAGCGGAUAGAAGUUCAGAACCAUCGGUCCCUCUUCUUCCUGGGUCAUCCUGAGCUCGGCAGUGAGAGCACCUACGACUAGGGAGCGGCCGAGCAGAGGGAACAAGGCCGUGCCCGCUAAGGUUCUCCCGGGACGGUGGCGAGCCCACGCU
rnacentral:lncRNA from 1 species